CCGGGACUUGUGACAGAGUCCCUGUGUGUGCUUCUGUCUUCAGACUGUCUCCUACUAAAUCCGGCCUGGAUAAUUUCAGUUUCGGGACCCUGAACUGCAUCUACAAAGAACCUUUGUGGUGCUAGGGCUGGAGCUCACUCCCACCCCGCCCAACUAGACCCGUGUUUGCUGCUCACUGAUCACGCCCAGGGCCCCAACCAUCGCUGGUCACAGUAACCCAUCUCAAGGUUGCGAAUGGCUUAGGAAGCCUGCACCCCAAAUGUCCUCAAGUGGGCUGGCUUUUGGGAGAGAACCAUGGUUUAGUGAGCAGUCAUUUUUACUGCCUCCCUGUCUCUGCAGAACACCUGUUGGGGAAGACACUGCAUUGUUUAGCUCUUCCACAUGGUUGGCCUGACUUUGUCUCCAGCCUGCCCAGCGCCCACCUCAGCCUUGCCAGCUGCUGCUCAUGAAUGAUUGAGAUGAAUGAACAGGCAAAAUUGCUUGCAGCACAAGCCUGCUGACCCAAGGUGUGAGGUGAAGGGAGAAGAGAGCACCCACUCCUGUAUUUAUCCUCUGAACACCAUGGGAGCCCUGUGACAUGUGACCCACACUCACCCAGUACACAUACAUAAUUAACAAACUCCUCUCCAGUCCCACUCAAAGAAAAAGUAACUGGGCUGAAGAGAUGGCCCAGUGGUUGAGAACACUAGCUGUAAUGGGAUCUGAUUUCCUCUCUAGC
rnacentral:lncRNA from 1 species